ACCCCACAAUUUUUGUUCUUAUAUAUUUGACUGUUAUAUCCCAACAUGCCCAAUGUGGCAGUUGAAUGUUAAGCAGCAUUCCAAAGUGAAUUGUGUCAUCUGUACAGGUCCAAAGUGAGUAAACCAGCCAGCUGCCCUAGAUCUGUAAGCCACUGAACAUCCAUCAUUCUGACAAAUGUGAUCUCUGCGCCGAAGAUCAUUGGAAGCCAGUCACCUAUAUGUAACAACUAUGGAUGGAGAGAAAAUGGAUUGGAAGAAGGAGACAUUCAUUAGCAAAGAAAGGACAUCAGGCUCCAGAUUUUCAAAUCCUUAAAUGCUUUUAUAUGAGCAAAUGAAGGCUCCAAGCAAGAUUUUGUUAUUUUUCUAUGCUACUGUCCUAAAUGUUGCAUAGUGAUUAAAUGUUUUCAAUGACA